GACCCAACAGAUAGACUUGCUUUAACGUCGCUGGGACUCAAAGGCAGCGUUGAGACGACGUCGUCUUCCGGUUCUUCCGUUUUGGAACUUGAAAGCGCGCAUAACCUGUCUUUUCUUUCCUUGACAAUUUCACAUCUUCCCCCGACAACUCGAGAAAAUUUCUCACCCUAACCCCAAAAUUUUGUAAAACCGUUUACAGCCCAUAAGUUUUUCUCAAGGAUUUAUUUGGCUAUAAAGGAGGCUCCUAAUACAGUUACUUUUGGCACUUGUUGCAGACUUGCAACAAAAGAUUUCAAGCUUCUUCAUAUGGAUGCGGAUGCUGCAAAAACAGCCCGGGAGUCUCUAGACCUAGCAUUUCAGAUGUCCAACAUUCUUGACACGGGGCUUGAUCGUCACACCCUCUCCAUCCUUAUUGCACUCUGUGAUUUGGGUCUCAAUGCUGAGUCGUUAGCUGCAGUUGUCAAGGAACUCCGAAAUGACCUGGAGCCACUUACACCACAGGAUGCUGCUCCGCAUGGACCAUGAACAGGACCAUUUUGCUGAGAAACUAAUAUGCUUCUUUGGAGGAAUGAUGCACACACAUCUCUGAGUCGCUUUUUGUUCCUCUUUCGGUUCUCCUGUACAACUGAUGGAUGUCUACAAAAUGUAUGUGUACUUUUGGAGGUUGGAGGACAUCACUCGGUCUCUUGUUCUUCCUUGUUCUGUUCUCAUGCAUAACUGAUGGAUGUUUACAAAAAUUUUAUGCUAUUUUCCUGCUGUGGUUUGUGUGUGAGGGUGAAAUUUGUAAGUGCAGUCUUAUGAGCAAAAAGAAUUUGAUGUCAAUUUCAA